GUGGCGCACGGGUGAGUAAUGUAUAGGUAAUAUGCCUCUUACUAAGGGAUAACAAAUGGAAACGUUUGCUAAUACCUUAUACUCCUUAUUAACCUAAGUUAAUAAGGGAAAGAUUUAUUGGUAAGAGAUUAGCCUGUAUUGUAUCAGUUAGUUGGUGGGGUAAUGGCCUACCAAGACUAUGACACAUAACUGGUCUGAGAGGAUGAUCAGUCACACUGGAACUGAGACACGGUCCAGACUCCUACGGGAGGCAGCAGUGGGGAAUAUUGCGCAAUGGACGAAAGUCUGAUGCAGCGACGCCGCGUGGAGGAUGACACAUUUCGGUGCGUAAACUCCUUUUAUAUGAGAAGAUAAUGACGGUAUUAUAUGAAUAAGCACCGGCUAACUCCGUGCCAGCAGCCGCGGUAAUACGGGGGGUGCAAGCGUUACUCGGAAUCACUGGGCGUAAAGAGCAUGUAGGCGGAUUAAUAAGUUUGAAGUGAAAUCCUAUA
rnacentral:rRNA from 1 species